rnacentral:tRNA from 1 species
GGAGGGAUAGCGAAGCCUGGCCAAACGCACAGGACUCAAGAUCCCGUCCCUUAGGGGUUCGUGGGUUCGAAUCCCACUCCCUCCACCA